rnacentral:snRNA from 1 species
CACUCAUGUUUUAUCUCAAAUCGUAUAAAUCUUUCGCCUUUUAUUAAAGAUUUCCGUGGGAAGUAACACAAUGAGUAUAAGCUAAUUUUUUGAUGCUCUGUUUUUGGCAGGGCU